rnacentral:rRNA from 1 species
AUAUUGGACAAUGGGCGCAAGCCUGAUCCAGCCAUGCCGCGUGAGUGAAGAAGGCCUUAGGGUUGUAAAGCUCUUUCGCCGGGGACGAUAAUGACGGUACCCGGAGAAGAAGCCCCGGCUAACUCCGUGCCAGCAGCCGCGGUAAGACGGAGGGGGCUAGCGUUGUUCGGAAUUACUGGGCGUAAAGCGCACGUAGGCGGUGGUUCAAGUUGGGGGUGAAAUCCCGGGGCUCAACCCCGGAAUUGCCUCCAAGACUGGAUUGCUGGAGUCCGGAAGAGGAGAGCGGAAUUCCCAGUGUAGAGGUGAAAUUCGUAGAUAUUGGGAAGAACACCAGUGGCGAAGGCGGCUCUCUGGUCCGGGACUGACGCUGAGGUGCGAAAGCGUGGGGAGCAAAC